UAGACGCGAAAAGUGUCAUGACAUGCCGCCUUUGUGAAUGACCAAUUUUUGAACGCACCUUGCACCUAUCCAUGGGAUGGGUGUGCUUGUGUGAGUGUGGGACGGAGCUUGCGCAUAUAUGGAUUGCCAGAGAUGAGGCGUGCGAACGAAAAUAGCUGCCUUGAAAGACAUGGCGAGCACGAGAUGAGCGCCCUGGGAUACAUCUACAGGCUGCGAGUCACGUGUUCGGUAACGAGAGGGUGUGUGAGAGAUCUUAAAAGGGAGAGAUAACAUGCUUCCCUUUCACCGUCUCACUCACACCCCCCUACACUAAAACCCACCUCACAUCAAGCAAGACCACCCGCUGAACUUAA
rnacentral:misc_RNA from 1 species